UACGGGGGGGGCAAGCGUUGUUCGGAAUUAUUGGGUUUAAAGGGUGCGUAGGCGGUUUUGUAAGUCAGUGGUGAAAUACUCUAGCUUAACUAGAGGGGUGCCAAUGAUACUGCAGAACUUGAGUACAGAUGAGGUAGGCGGAAUUGACGGUGUAGCGGUGAAAUGCAUAGAUAUCGUCAAGAACACCUAUAGCGAAGGCAGCUUACUGGGCUGUAACUGACGCUGAGGCACGAAAGUGUGGGGAUCAAACAGG
rnacentral:rRNA from 1 species